UGGGGAAUUUUGGACAAUGGGCGAAAGCCUGAUCCAGCAAUGCCGCGUGUGUGAAGAAGGCCUUCGGGUUGUAAAGCACUUUUGUCCGGAAAGAAAUCCUCUGGGUUAAUACCUCGGGGGGAUGACGGUACCGGAAGAAUAAGCACCGGCUAACUACGUGCCAGCAGCCGCGGUAAUACGUAGGGUGCAAGCGUUAAUCGGAAUUACUGGGCGUAAAGCGUGCGCAGGCGGUUUUGUAAGACGGAUGUGAAAUCCCCGGGCUUAACCUGGGGACUGCAUUCGUGACUGCAAGGCUAGAGUAUGGCAGAGGGGGGUAGAAUUCCACGUGUAGCAGUGAAAUGCGUAGAGAUGUGGAGGAAUACCGAUGGCGAAGGCAGCCCCCUGGGCCAAAUACUGACGCUCAUGCACGAAAGCGUGGGGAGCAAACAGGAUUAGAUACCCUGGUAGUCCACGCCCUAAACGAUGUCAACUAGUUGUUGGGGAUUCAUUUCCUUAGUAACGUAGCUAACGCGUGAAGUUGACCGCCUGGGGAGUACGGUCGCAAGAUUAAAACUCAAAGGAAUUGACGGGGUCAUAGCUGUUUCCU
rnacentral:rRNA from 1 species